CAAGGAAACGCUGAGCGAAACUCAGUCGGCUGAACAGCGAGCUGGUGAGAGGAUCGAGUAUCGACCGCAUACGAAACCGCUUCCGUUUUCACGCGAUAUCUCAACCAGUUUAUUUCGCCUUGCCCAGCUUUUCUCUUGCUAUUCCUGCAACUCCUUCGGCGAAACGUUAUUUGGAGCCAUUUUUUUGGCCACUCGAGUGCGUGCCGAGUUUUUCCCGAAACACGAUUAGAGUUUUUCCCGAAACACGAUUACGCAGAGUUAGGGAAACGCGUCAAUAUUGAAACAGUGCAGCGGAGCUUUCUUAUACUAUAUCCGGGGGUGGUUGGUUUUAAAAAGCCGGAAGAGCAGGAGGAUAAUUUUUCAUCGAUUUUGUGCAACGCGAGCUAAAGGGAGCGCGAGCCCUGUUUUGCGGAUUUCCCGGCGUGUAGUUUUGUUAUCCCGCUCCCGUCGGCUUUGUGUUGUUGUAUAGAGGUUUUUCGACUAGCAAAUAAGGUGAACGUGCAUUGUUGUGAGACCAUUUGUCUUAAGGUAACUACAAUUAACAGUAAUUAUAUGUGCUUAUCGGGCAGACCCGGAGGAUUAAACUGUGUUUACAAUUGCGGUGAUAAUUAGUGAACGUUAGUGAACAACCGGCAAAAUAGCGAUCAUAGUGAGAGUGCAGGAUUCCGAACGGAAGGGUGAAAAUGUCGCCCAGGACAAGGAAAGUAAGGAAAAAGAGGGCCACCAGGAAACAGUGGAAACACCACUAACUUCACCAACGGACGAUUUGGUUCAGGGUUCUCUCCAACUUCCUUAUGCCAAAAACUGGUUUUCCAGAUGCAGCAGAUGAAAAAAAACC